UACGUAGGGUGCAAGCGUUAAUCGGAAUUACUGGGCGUAAAGCGUGCGCAGGCGGCUUUGCAAGACAGAUGUGAAAUCCCCGGGCUUAACCUGGGAACUGCAUUUGUGACUGCAUGGCUGGAGUGCGGCAGAGGGGGAUGGAAUUCCGGCGUGUAGCAGUGAAAUGCGUAGAUAUGCGGAGGAACACCGAUGGCGAAGGCAAUCCCCUGGGCUAACACUGACGCUCAUGCACGAAAGCGUGGGGAGCAAACAGG
rnacentral:rRNA from 1 species